GCAAACUUGGUCAUUUAGAGGAAGUAAAAGUCGUAACAAGGUCUCCGUUGGUGAACCAGCGGAGGGAUCAUUACCGAGUUUCCAACUCCCAAACCCACUGUGAACCUAUACCUACACCGUUGCUUCGGCGGGCCCCGGCCCCUGCGAUGCCCCCUCCCGGGGGGGCGGAGCCGGGGGACGUGGCGCCCGCCGGGGGACCCAAACUACUGAAUGAUUGAACCGAGGUACUCUGAUUUCUUCCAAAAACAAAUGAAUCAAAACUUUCAACAACGGAUCUCUUGGUUCUGGCAUCGAUGAAGAACGCAGC
rnacentral:misc_RNA from 1 species